AUUUGGAGAUAUGAUCACUAUAAUGCCCUACUUUGGAGUGGGUCACCCAUCCUUGAACUAUUCUAUCUCUAUCAUACUUAACCCUCUCAAAUUAUUUUUGAUGAUAGAGAUCUCGAAUCUAUGAUCGGAACCGUUGAAGUAGAACUAGAGUAUUUGAAUUAUCUAGGAACUAAAUUUUAUAAAUUUUAAAAUUUAUUUACAUAGUGAUCAAAGGAUUGCAAAAUUGACAAUUUUUGACGGUUUAUAUGAGCCGUUUGGUUGUUUAACGGUGUAGAGUAAUCCAAACCGGUUGAAUUUUUUAUAGAAAAUUCUUUAUACUAUUUAGAUAAUGUUUAAUAACUCCGAUCGUAAAUUGAGAAAGUCUAACCUCUAUUUUCAGAAGGUCAUUUGUUUUUAACCGUCAUUUUUUGACUCUUCGAUGGGCUUGAUAAUGAUUUUUAAAAAUUACAAAAUUCAGUUUCUAAACAUUUCUAAUUGUGUAGAUCAA
rnacentral:lncRNA from 1 species